rnacentral:rRNA from 1 species
UACGUAGGCAGCAAGCGUUGUUCGGAGUUACUGGGCGUAAAGGGUGUGUAGGCGGUUGGAUAAGUGUGGUGUGAAAUCUCCCGGCUCAACUGGGAGGGUGCGCUACAAACUGUCUGACUCGAGUGUGGGAUGGGUAAGUGGAAUUCCGGGUGUAGUGGUGGAAAUGCGUAGAGAUCCGGAGGAACACCAGUGGCGAAGGCGGCUCGCUGGGCUCGUACCUGACGCUGAGGCGCGAAAGCGUGGGGAGCGAACGG